rnacentral:lncRNA from 1 species
GCAAUGUUUACAGUGCUAUUUAUGGAGAUGAAAUCAUAUACGCUAUUUCUAUUUGAAGAUACGCUUGAAUUGCAAGUACAGAGAAAUGGAAGCUUUGUUCUGUGUUUCUCAAGGGACAGGACAUUUGGAGAAAGAACCACCACACACAUCAAGGAGGGGGAGCCAGAGGCAGUAAAAGAUAUAUGGAGAAGGUUUUGUUCCUCUUACUCUGAAUGUAGUGCCGAGGAAAACGAAUUCUGAGCACUUCCGAAACUCGACAUCUGAAAAAUCUCACAGAAAUUGGCUAUCUGCUCACGAAAAGGUAAACACUUGCCAUUUUUGUAUGUUGGCAAGUGGGUUUUAUAAAGCAAGAUUGCUUAAGGCUUCUGUGUUUAUAUUCUAUGCAUGUAUUUCAUAGCUGAUAUAUAUGUAGCAUAUAAUUUUCUGUUAACUGAAUCUCUUAACAUGCUUUUGCAGCAGGAAUAUUUGCCCUAAAUCUAAGAUAUUCCUGGGAGUGAUAUAAAGAGAGGGUUGGUAACGGGAGAUUUUUUUCUUUCCCUAAUGGCAUGCUUUUUAAGUAACUAAGUGGAGGAAAUCAACAAAGAUUGCAUGGAAUAUGAUGUUACUGAUAUGACACAGUUCUGAGUCUUUGAAAUUUUCUUCAUCCCCAAGGCUGGCUCAGUUUUUGCUGAUAUAGACCAAAUCAAGAUGACACUUUUAUUUUCCUGAUAUUACCUGUGAAUAUUGGCUUGUUUGAGAAACAAAGACAGCUUUUAAAGUUGUGAAAGAUAGCUCAUGAUUAUAUCAUUUUGAAACAAGAAAGAAAGAAAAAAAAAAAAAAACUCUUUACACCACAUUCGGAUCUCCAUUCAUGCCAUCCCUCUCUGCCCAUUUACAUAAGAAAUUUCUCAAAAGAGUUUGCUACACAUGCUUUAGCAUUGUCCCCCCAUUUUGCUUUAAUCCAUUCUAAUCAGGAUUUUGUUCCAGGCACUCCCCUGCAAGAGCACUGGCAAAAUAACCACGUGAUUGCAAACGGCCAAAUCUCUCGUCGAAUUUUCCAGCUGUUGCCAAACUAAUGCUGUACCCCAAACUCUCAAUGGCUUACUGCAAAAAAAAAAAAAGAAAAAAAAAAGGAUUCCAGUGCUCCUGUGCGGCAGACUGACUACAGUUAGACUAAUCUAGGCUUCGCACGGAUGAGUGACUCUGCUCUAGGUUGCCUGAGUGGUGACUCUGCUCUAGGUUGCCUGAGUGUUUGGAGCAG